UACAGAGGUCCCAAGCGUUGUUCGGAUUCAUUGGGCGUAAAGGGUGUGUAGGUGGCGCCGUAAGUCGGGUGUGAAACUCGGGGCUUAACUCCGAAACUGCAUUCGAUACUGCGGUGCUUGAGGACUGGAGAGGAGACUGGAAUUCAUGGUGUAGCAGUGAAAUGCGUAGAGAUCAUGAGGAAGACCAGUGGCGAAGGCGGGUCUCUGGACAGCUCCUGACGCUGAGGCGCGAAGGCUAGGGGAGCAAACGGG
rnacentral:rRNA from 1 species